rnacentral:misc_RNA from 1 species
CAUGUAGGAUCCGAGCGUUAUCCGAAUUUACUGGGCGUAAAGCGCGUGUAGGCGGUUUAGUAAGUUGGAUGUGAAAGCUCCCGGCUCAACUGGGAGAGGCCGUUCAAAACUACUAAACUAGAGGACGGUAGAGGGAGGUGGAAUUCCCGGUGUAGUAGUGAAAUGCGUAGAUAUCGGGAGGAACACCAGUGGCGAAAGCGGCCUCCUGGACCGUUCCUGACGCUCAGACGCGAAAGCUAGGGGAGCGAACGGG